rnacentral:rRNA from 1 species
GUAGGGGGCAAGCGUUGUCCGGAUUUAUUGGGCGUAAAGAGCGUGUAGGCGGCUAAAUAGGUCCGUUGUGAAAACUCGAGGCUCAACCUCGAGAUGCCGAUGGAAACCAUUUGGCUAGAGUCCGGAAGAGGAGAGUGGAAUUCCCGGUGUAGCGGUGAAAUGCGCAGAUAUCGGGAAGAACACCCGUGGCUAAGGCGGCUCUCUAGUACGGUACUGACGCUGAGACGCGAAAGCGUGGGGAGCGAACAGGAUUAGAUACCCUGGUAGUCCACGCCGUAAACGAUGGGUGCUUGGUGUCGGGGGUAUCGACCCCUCCGGUGCCGAAGCUAACGCAUUAAGCACCCCGCCUGGGGAGUACGGUCGCAAGGCUG